UACGGAGGGUGCAAACGUUGCUCGGAAUCAUUGGGCGUAAAGCGCACGUAGGCGGACCGCUAAGUCGGAUGUGAAAGCCCUCGGCUUAACCGAGGAAGUGCACUCGAAACUGACGGUCUUGAGUAUGGAAGAGGGUCGCGGAAUUCCCGGUGUAGAGGUGAAAUUCGUAGAUAUCGGUAGGAACACCAGUGGCGAAGGCGGCGACCUGGGCCAAUACUGACGCUGAGGUGCGAAAGCGUGGGGAGCAAACAGG
rnacentral:rRNA from 1 species